rnacentral:ncRNA from 1 species
AGCACAUAUUUGUCUUUGUUCUAAUUUUUUCCUUUCUGUAACUCAAAGGUAAAAAUCUUUAGAAACCCUCUCCCUCAUUAUUACUACUUCAUGAUCUUCCAAAGUGGAGCAGGGUUCCAUGUGAACAGCAGUUGAACAUGGGUCAGUCGGUCCUAAGCGAUAGGCGAGCGCCGUUCGGAAAGGGCGGGCGAUGGCCUCCGUUGCCCUCAGCCGAUCGAAAGGGAGUCGGGUUCAGAUCCCCGAAUCCGGAGUGGCGGAGACGGGCGCCGCGAGGCGCCCAGUGCGGUGACGCAACCGAUCCCGGAGAAGCCGGCGGGAGCCCCGGGGAGAGUUCUCUUUUCUUUGUGAAGGGCCGGGCGCCCUGGAAUGGGUUCGCCCCGAGAGAGGGGCCCGCGCCUUGGAAAGCGUCGCGGUUCCGGCGGCGUCCGGUGAGCUCUCGCUGGCCCGUGAAAAUCCGGGGGAGAGGGUGUAAGUCUCGCGCCGGGCCGUACCCAUAUCCGCAGCAGGUCUCCAAGGUGAACAGCCUCUGGCA